rnacentral:rRNA from 1 species
UACGGGAGGCAGCAGUAGGGAAUCUUCCGCAAUGGACGAAAGUCUGACGGAGCAACGCCGCGUGAACGAUGAAGGCUUUCGGGUCGUAAAGUUCUGUUGUUAGGGAAGAACAAGUACCAGAGUAACUGCUGGUACCUUGACGGUACCUAACCAGAAAGCCACGGCUAACUACGUGCCAGCAGCCGCGGUAAUACGUAGGUGGCAAGCGUUGUCCGGGAUUAUUGGGCGUAAAGCGCGCGCAGGUGGUUCUUUAAGUCUGAUGUGAAAGCCCACGGCUCAACCGUGGAGGGUCAUUGGAAACUGGGGAACUUGAGUGCAGAAGAGGAAAGUGGAAUUCCACGUGUAGCGGUGAAAUGCGUAGAGAUGUGGAGGAACACCAGUGGCGAAAGGCGACUUUUCUGGUCUGUAACUGACACUGAGGCGCGAAAGCGUGGGGAGCGAACAGGAUUAGAUACC